rfam:Triticum aestivum genome assembly, contig: Triticum_aestivum_CS42_TGACv1_scaffold_030386_1BL
AUAGUACUCCCUCCGUUCAGAAUUACUUGUCGUAAAAAUGGAUAUAUCUAGACAUUUUUUAGUUCUAGAUACAUCCAUUUCUGCGACAAGUAAUUCGAAACGGAUGGAGUAUAAU